AGAGUUUGAUCAUGGCUCAGAUUGAACGCUGGCGGCAUGCCUAACACAUGCAAGUCGAACGAUUAGCCGGCUUCGGCCGGUGAGAGUGGCGGACGGGUGAGUAACGCGUGGGAAUCUGCCCAGUAGUGGGGGACAACCCGGGGAAACUCGGGCUAAUACCGCAUACGCCCUACGGGGGAAAGCGGGGGACCGCAAGGCCUCGCGCUAUUGGAUGAGCCCGCGUCCGAUUAGCUAGUUGGUGGGGUAAUGGCCCACCAAGGCGACGAUCGGUAGCUGGUCUGAGAGGACGAUCAGCCACACUGGGACUGGGACACGGCCCAGACUCCUACGGGAGGCAGCAGUGGGGAAUAUUGGACAAUGGGCGAAAGCCUGAUCCAGCAAUGCCGCGUGUGUGAAGAAGGCCUGCGGGUUGUAAAGCACUUUCGGUAGGAAAGAAAAGACUGUCGCUAAUACCGGCGGUUCUUGACGUUACCUACAGAAGAAGCACCGGCUAAUUCCGUGCCAGCAGCCGCGGUAAUACGGAAGGUGCGAGCGUUAAUCGGAAUUACUGGGCGUAAAGCGCGCGUAGGUGGUUCGGUAAGUCGGGUGUGAAAGCCCUGGGCUCAACCUGGGAAUUGCAUUCGAUACUGUCGAGCUAGAGUGUGGUAGAGGGGGGUGGAAUUCCAGGUGUAGCGGUGAAAUGCGUAGAUAUCUGGAGGAACACCAGUGGCGAAGGCGGCCCCCUGGACCAACACUGACACUGAGGUGCGAAAGCGUGGGUAGCAAACAGGAUUAGAUACCCUGGUAGUCCACGCCGUAAACGAUGUCAACUAGCCGUUGGAUCCGCUUUAAGGGUUUAGUGGCGCAGCUAACGCGAUAAGUUGACCGCCUGGGGAGUACGGCCGCAAGGUUAAAACUCAAAGGAAUUGACGGGGGCCCGCACAAGCGGUGGAGCAUGUGGUUUAAUUCGAUGCAACGCGAAAAACCUUACCAGCCCUUGACAUCCCGCGAACUGCCCAGAGAUGGUGGGUGCCCUUCGGGAGCGCGAGACAGGUGCUGCAUGGCUGUCGUCAGCUCGUGUC
rnacentral:rRNA from 1 species